AUUUUCAUCUUUCUUCACGUUAACGGAAGUUAUAAUUCAGAUUGUACUAUAGUGGCAAUAAAUUGUGUCUCUGAAGAUAUAUAAACGCGACAGGAAGCGACUCGCGGUUAAUGGACACGUGAGAACGACAUGACACUUGACGUCACUUCCGUGUCCACAACAGUUACUGAAUUUAUAAUGUUCAAUAGAUAUUUAGAUAUUUCAAUCAAAUUGAAUAAAUUUUUGCAAGAAAUUGAAGUAAUUUGGCAGGAA